GAUGAACGCCGGCGGCGUGCCUAAUACAUGCAAGUCGAGCGAACGGACGAGAAGCGUGCUUGUAUGAUGUUAGCGGCGGACGGGUGAGGAACACGUGGAUAACCGACCGAGAAGACUGGGAUAACUUCGGGAAACCGUAGCUAAUACCGGAUAAGAGUUUGAACCGCAUGGUUCAAAAGUGAAAGACGGUCUUGCUGUCACUUGUAGAUGGAUCCGCGCUGCAUUAGCUAGUUGGUAAGGUAACGGCUUACCAAGGCAACGAUGCAUAGCCGACCUGAGAGGGUGAUCGGCCACACUGGAACUGAGACACGGUCCAGACUCCUACGGGAGGCAGCAGUAGGGAAUCUUCCGCAAUGGGCGAAAGCCUGACGGAGCAACGCCGCGUGAGUGAUGAAGGUCUUCGGAUCGUAAAACUCUGUUAUUAGGGAAGAACAUAUGUGUAAGUAACUGUGCCCAUCUUGACGGUACCUAAUCAGAAAGCCACGGCUAACUACGUG
rnacentral:rRNA from 1 species